GAGACGCGCUUGAUGAGCGCCUGCAGCCCUCCCCGUUUCCCUGCCAUUGCCUGGGCCCCAUCCGUGCAGAUGCCCACACAGUCGUUCAUGAUCGGCCUCUUUCAAGUAAGUGUCGAUGAUAUUAAACAGCUCAGCUGCAGUCUCUAUUCAUCACACGUUUACAGAAAAGCAAAUCCUCCCUCAGAUCAUCAGCGUCGAUGAAUCUGACAUAAGUUAUUAAUAAGCAGUCCUUGUUGCUGUCGGUCGCUUCAUCCACCUGCAGGGCAAAACGGUUGUCCCGUAUCUUGUCAUUAAGCUGCUCCUCGAUGUCUUUUGACAUGUCAUAAAUACGUCUUGCAAUAGUAUUGUUUGACAGAGGGAUAGUUUUUAAUUUACUGGCUGUUGCUUCGUCAAUCGUAGUAGAGACCAUAUCAACAGCGGCGGGCAGUAUUAAUUCCUCCGCGAUGGUGUGUGGCUUUUUACACUUAGCAACUCGAUAUGUUACUUUAUAUGACGCCAGUUGAGCAUUUGACGGCUGCUUUGGUAAAGGUGCUCUGCUGUGCAUGACAGCUGAGAAGUUUCUUUGUGAAGAACUCAACAGGCUUGUGUGUGUGUGCGGGACGGGUUGUUUCUAGAUGGCGUUUUAACUUGUUUGGCUUCAUGCUGUCAGAUGCUCAUACUUUAAAGCACAACACACACUGUGGUCUCUCUUCGUUACCCACCGUUGUACAGGUGAAGCCGAGGGCGAGAUAUGACUCGUCAUACUUUCUUGUCUUUGAUUUUGAUGUGCUAUCUGAUGAAGACUCAUUGUCAGCUUUACGUUUUGCUGGAGGUCCUCUCUCAAUAUUCGCCAUGCUUUGCUAGUUGCGCUAACUGUAGUUUGGAAAUUGGAACUUUUCUUCUUCGUCUUUUCCCCCCAAACUUUUCGCGCCCCCCUGUCAUUGCGCCGCCGCACCAGGGGGGCGCAUGGCCCACUUUGGGAACCACUGCACUAGGCUAUGUCUCCCCUCCCCUCCCACAUCCCUCCUCCCCUCUCUUCCCUCUUAGAGAGACAGCACAGCUCCUGUUUCCUCAGUCUGACGCCGGCUGUACGCGAGGGUAGACGAUGCUCCUCAGCAGGAUUUUUGGUGAUUGGAUCUCGGUGCUUAUAUUCUUUGUCUUAGCCUCUGUUGGGGUCACUCUACCUGUCAAAGCGAGUGAGAAAAAGAACGUGAAAGCUGGAGAAAAAAUCACUCUGCUGACCGGAUUCACUGAUCUACGUGGUGAAUAUUCUGUUUGGUUGUAUUUGAAGAAUGGCACCCAAAAAGACACACUCAUCAAAUGUGAUGGAGAAAAAGUGGAGUGUGCGCUCUCUAAGAUGUCUGAAGGAAAACUGGACAGAGAAAAUGGCUCUUUGACAUUUGGGCCGCUAAACGUGGCGGACAGCGACGUUUACGUGAUACAAACCACUAAUGGAGACAACAAGUUUCUUGAAAAAGACUAUGAAGUCACUGUGUCUGAGUCUAAGACAUCCACUGGAUCCCAAAACUCUGCUCACUACCAGAGGGCUCGCCUGGCAUCUAUCUUAACUGCUGCUGCCUGCGUUGUGUUGCUCUUGUGAGCAGCUCAGUACGGAAAAUCUCAGGGAAAUGUGAGCCCGCCUUCCUGCCUAUGCAACCACCCAGUGUGUGAUGCUCAGCCAUCGGAACAUUAUCUCCCCUUCCUUGUCCAUGCUUUUAUCUUCAGUCGUCUUGAUUACUGCAACAGUGUCUUUACAGGUCUAAAACAUCAGUCAGACAACUG